rnacentral:rRNA from 1 species
UACGUAGGGUGCAAGCGUUGUCCGGAAUUAUUGGGCGUAAAGAGCUCGUAGGCGGCUUGUCGCGUCGGCUGUUAAAGCGUUAGGCUCAACCUAAUAAGGGCAGUGGAAACUAUGAGACUAGAGUAUGUUAGGGGUAGAGGGAAUUCCCAGUGUAGCGGUGAAAUGCGUAGAGAUUGGGAAGAACACCAGUGGCGAAGGCGGCUUCCUGGCCUGUUCUUGACGCUGAGGCGCGAAAGCUAGGGGAGCAAACGGG